rnacentral:rRNA from 1 species
GUUAAGCGACUAAGCGUACACGGUGGAUGCCCUGGCAGUCAGAGGCGAUGAAGGACGUGCUAAUCUGCGAUAAGCGUCGGUAAGGUGAUAUGAACCGUUAUAACCGGCGAUUUCCGAAUGGGGAAACCCAGUGUGAUUCGUCACACUAUCAUUAACUGAAUCCAUAGGUUAAUGAGGCGAACCGGGGGAACUGAAACAUCUAAGUACCCCGAGGAAAAGAAAUCAACCGAGAUUCCCCCAGUAGCGGCGAGCGAACGGGGAGCAGCCCAGAGCCUGAAUCAGUGUGUGUGUUAGUGGAAGCGUCUGGAAAGGCGUGCGAUACAGGGUGACAGCCCCGUACACAAAAAUGCACAUACUGUGAGCUCGAUGAGUAGGGCGGGACACGUGGUAUCCUGUCUGAAUAUGGGGGGACCAUCCUCCAAGGCUAAAUACUCCUGACUGACCGAUAGUGAACCAGUACCGUGAGGGAAAGGCGAAAAGAACCCCGGCGAGGGGAGUGAAAAAGAACCUGAAACCGUGUACGUACAAGCAGUGGGAGCACGCUUAGGCGUGUGACUGCGUACCUUUUGUAUAAUGGGUCAGCGACUUAUAUUCUGUAGCAAGGUUAACCGAAUAGGGGAGCCGAAGGGAAACCGAGUCUUAACUGGGCGUUAAGUUGCAGGGUAUAGACCCGAAACCCGGUGAUCUAGCCAUGGGCAGGUUGAAGGUUGGGUAACACUAACUGGAGGACCGAACCGACUAAUGUUGAAAAAUUAGCGGAUGACUUGUGGCUGGGGGUGAAAGGCCAAUCAAACCGGGAGAUAGCUGGUUCUCCCCGAAAGCUAUUUAGGUAGCGCCUCGUGAAUUCAUCUCCGGGGGUAGAGCACUGUUUCGGCAAGGGGGUCAUCCCGACUUACCAACCCGAUGCAAACUGCGAAUACCGGAGAAUGUUAUCACGGGAGACACACGGCGGGUGCUAACGUCCGUCGUGAAGAGGGAAACAACCCAGACCGCCAGCUAAGGUCCCAAAGUCAUGGUUAAGUGGGAAACGAUGUGGGAAGGCCCAGACAGCCAGGAUGUUGGCUUAGAAGCAGCCAUCAUUUAAAGAAAGCGUAAUAGCUCACUGGUCGAGUCGGCCUGCGCGGAAGAUGUAACGGGGCUAAACCAUGCACCGAAGCUGCGGCAGCGACGCUUAUGCGU